GUGAGAACAGUAUCGUCCCUGGUCUGGAGGAGGCCUGAGAAUAUACCGAAAAACUCAAACACCGAUCGCUAGCGGCAACAGUGGGAGAAGGCUAUGCCCGAGGAGAAGAGCCAAACGACAAAGAAGCUGGUUGCCAGCGGAGACCUGUGGACAUUUUAAUCUCCCACUCCUGUUCUGCUGUACCAUUUUUAGCUUAAUUUUAGUUGGUUGUGCUUUUGUUUUUAAAUUCUUUUAAGGAGGA